rnacentral:rRNA from 1 species
CGGGACACGUGGUAUCCUGUCUGAAUAUGGGGGGACCAUCCUCCAAGGCUAAAUACUCCUGACUGACCGAUAGUGAACCAGUACCGUGAGGGAAAGGCGAAAAGAACCCCGGCGAGGGGAGUGAAAAAGAACCUGAAACCGUGUACGUACAAGCAGUGGGAGCACAGAGCAAUCUGUGUGACUGCGUACCUUUUGUAUAAUGGGUCAGCGACUUAUAUUCUGUAGCAAGGUUAACCGAAUAGGGGAGCCGAAGGGAAACCGAGUCUUAACUGGGCGUUAAGUUGCAGGGUAUAGACCCGAAACCCGGUGAUCUAGCCAUGGGCAGGUUGAAGGUUGGGUAACACUAACUGGAGGACCGAAC